rnacentral:rRNA from 1 species
UACGUAGGGCGCAAGCGUUAUCCGGAAUUAUUGGGCGUAAAGAGCUCGUAGGCGGUUUGUCGCGUCUGCCGUGAAAGUCCGGGGCUCAACUCCGGAUCUGCGGUGGGUACGGGGCAGACUAGAGUGCGGUAGGGGAGAUUGGAAUUCCUGGUGUAGCGGUGAAUGCGCAGAUAUCAGGAGGAACACCGGUGGCGAAGGCGGGUCUCUGGGCCGUAACUGACGCUGAGGAGCGAAAGCAUGGGGAGCGAACAGG